rnacentral:rRNA from 1 species
AACAUUAUGUUGUACCAUUUAUUCGCUAAUGGUUAAGUUAGAAAGGGCGCACGGUGAAUGCCUUGGCACUAGGAGCCGAUGAAGGACGGGACUAACACCGAUAUGCUUCGGGGAGCUGUAAGUGAGCUUUGAUCCGGAGAUUUCCGAAUGGGGAAACCCACUGUUCGUAAUGGAACAGUAUCUUUAUCUGAAUACAUAGGAUAUUGAAGGCAGACCCGGGGAACUGAAACAUCUAAGUACCCGGAGGAAGAGAAAGCAAAUGCGAUUUCCUGAGUAGCGGCGAGCGAAACGGAAUUAGCCCAAACCAAGAGGCUUGCCUCUUGGGGUUGUAGGACACUCUAUACGGAGUUACAAAGGAACGAAGUAAAUGAAGCGACCUGGAAAGGUCCGUCGAAGAAGGUAACAACCCUGUAGUUGAAACUUCGUUCCCUCUUGAGUGGAUCCUGAGUACGGCGGAACACGUGAAAUUCCGUCGGAAGCUGGGAGGACCAUCUCCCAAGGCUAAAUACUACCUAGUGACCGAUAGUGAACCAGUACCGUGAGGGAAAGGUGAAAAGCACCCCGGAAGGGGAGUGAAAGAGAUCCUGAAACCGUGUGCCUACAAGUAGUCAGAGCCCGUUAACGGGUGAUGGCGUGCCUUUUGUAGAAUGAACCGGCGAGUUACGAUCCCAUGCAAGGUUAAGCUGAUAAGGCGGAGCCGUAGCGAAAGCGAGUCUGAAUAGGGCGUUUAGUAUGUGGUUGUAGACCCGAAACCAGGUGAUCUACCCAUGUCCAGGGUGAAGUUCAGGUAACACUGAAUGGAGGCCCGAACCCACGCACGUUGAAAAGUGCGGGGAUGAGGUGUGGGUAGCGGAGAAAUUCCAAUCGAACCUGGAGAUAGCUGGUUCUCUCCGAAAUAGCUUUAGGGCUAGCCUCAUGUUGUGAGAGUCUUGGAGGUAGAGCACUGAUUGGACUAGGGGCCCCCAACGGGUUACCGAAUUCAGUCAAACUCCGAAUGCCAAAGACUUAUCCAUGGGAGUCAGACUGCGAGUGAUAAGAUCCGUAGUCAAAAGGGAAACAGCCCAGACCACCAGCUAAGGUCCCCAAGUAUACGUUAAGUGGAAAAGGAUGUGGAGUUGCUUAGACAACCAGGAUGUUGGCUUAGAAGCAGCCACCAUUUAAAGAGUGCGUAAUAGCUCACUGGUCGAGUGACUCUGCGCCGAAAAUGUACCGGGGCUAAACGUAUCACCGAAGCUGUGGAUUGACAUCUUAGAUGUCAGUGGUAGGAGAGCGUUCUAAGUGCUGUGAAGUCAGACCGUAAGGACUGGUGGAGCGCUUAGAAGUGAGAAUGCCGGUAUGAGUAGCGAAAGACAAGUGAGAAUCUUGUCCACCGAAUGCCUAAGGUUUCCUGAGGAAGGCUCGUCCGCUCAGGGUUAGUCGGGACCUAAGCCGAGGCUGAAAAGCGUAGGCGAUGGCCAACAGGUUGAUAUUCCUGUACCACCUCCCCGCCGUUUGAGUAAUGGGGGGACGCAGUAGGAUAGGGUAAGCGCGCUGCUGGAUAUGCGCGUUCAAGCAGUUAGGCUGAUGAGUAGGCAAAUCCGCUCAUCAUGAAAGCUGAGCUGUGAUGACGAGGGAACUAUAGUACCGAAGUUCCUGAUUCCACACUGCCAAGAAAAGCCUCUAGCGAGGCGGGAGGUGCCCGUACCGCAAACCGACACAGGUAGGCGAGGAGAGAAUCCUAAGGUGAUCGAGAGAACUCUCGUUAAGGAACUCGGCAAAAUGACCCCGUAACUUCGGGAGAAGGGGUGCUCUGGUAGGGUGUAUAGCCCGAGAGAGCCGCAGUGAAUAGGCCCAGGCGACUGUUUAGCAAAAACACAGGUCUCUGCGAAGCCGCAAGGCGAAGUAUAGGGGCUGACGCCUGCCCGGUGCUGGAAGGUUAAGAGGAGGGGUUAUCCUUUGGGAGAAGCUCUGAAUCGAAGCCCCAGUAAACGGCGGCCGUAACUAUAACGGUCCUAAGGUAGCGAAAUUCCUUGUCGGGUAAGUUCCGACCCGCACGAAAGGCGUAACGAUCUGGGCACUGUCUCAACGAGAGACUCGGUGAAAUUAUAGUACCUGUGAAGAUGCAGGUUACCCGCGACAGGACGGAAAGACCCCGUGGAGCUUUACUGUAGCCUGAUAUUGAAUUUUGGUACAGCUUGUACAGGAUAGGUAGGAGCCUGAGAAGCCGGAGCGCUAGCUUCGGUGGAGGCGUCGGUGGGAUACUACCCUGGCUGUAUUGAAAUUCUAACCCGCGGCCCUAAUCGGGCCGGGAGACAGUGUCAGGUGGGCAGUUUGACUGGGGCGGUCGCCUCCUAAAAUGUAACGGAGGCGCCCAAAGGUUCCCUCAGAAUGGUUGGAAAUCAUUCGUAGAGUGUAAAGGCACAAGGGAGCUUGACUGCGAGACCUACAAGUCGAGCAGGGACGAAAGUCGGGCUUAGUGAUCCGGUGGUUCCGCAUGGAAGGGCCAUCGCUCAACGGAUAAAAGCUACCCCGGGGAUAACAGGCUUAUCUCCCCCAAGAGUCCACAUCGACGGGGAGGUUUGGCACCUCGAUGUCGGCUCAUCGCAUCCUGGGGCUGUAGUCGGUCCCAAGGGUUGGGCUGUUCGCCCAUUAAAGCGGUACGCGAGCUGGGUUCAGAACGUCGUGAGACAGUUCGGUCCCUAUCCGUCGUGGGCGUAGGAAAUUUGAGAGGAGCUGUCCUUAGUACGAGAGGACCGGGAUGGACACACCGCUGGUGUACCAGUUGUCUUGCCAAAGGCAUCGCUGGGUAGCUAUGUGUGGACGGGAUAAGUGCUGAAAGCAUCUAAGCAUGAAGCCCCCCUCAAGAUGAGAUUUCCCAUAGCGCAAGCUAGUAAGAUCCCUGAAAGAUGAUCAGGUUGAUAGGUCAGAGGUGGAAGCGUGGCGACAUGUGUAGCUGACUGAUACUAAUCGAUCGAGGACUUAACCAA